AUCGCUUCUCGGCCUUUUGGCUAAGAUCAAGUGUAGUAUCUGUGCUUAUCAGCUUAAUAUCUGAUACGUCCUCGAUGAGAGGACUUUGUAUUCAACGUGUUUUUGGGUGCGGGGGUUGGACCCGCAGCUUGCUCCCUCCGCUCGGCGCAUCGUCCCGGUCUGGCGGUACCGGCGGGCACGGUGCAGCUCCC
ensembl:snRNA U2 U2 spliceosomal RNA